ACUAAAAGCAAGAUAUGCUCAAUAGAGAGAGUGUCCACGUCAUUUAAUUAAAUCAACCAAUCAAGAGCUUCUAAAUUGCCAUGUCAUUGUUACUCGAAACAGAUUUUUUUGUGGGCCAAUUCACGUGAGCGUCUUAAAUUGGAAAGCUAUGGCCCAUUUUUACCAGACCAAGCUUCCUUACAAACACACAUCUGAGUCGUCUCUUGCUCUUCCCCUUAAUAAUCAUCGUUUCUGAUUUCUACAAUUCACAGUUUCUUUGUAUUUAUCACUGUGCACUCACACUCAUUCAAUUACGAUAUUUUCUCCAAUCUAGAUGAGGAAGCUAUCCUUUCACCUCCCUUUCAUUGAAGCUCACAUUCAACCAUAUUCGACAACCUCUGUUCUACUGGCGAUGAAAUCGGUUCGAAACUCUGGUAAGUCUCGGUAAGACUCGAUUUUAUUACACUCUUAUUUUUCAUCUUAGAUAGUUAAUUUAUUUUACUACCCUAAACUUUCUAGAGAGCAAACGAAGCCCUGAACGAAAUCAGAGAAAGAAGAUCAGACUAUGAAUCUGAGAAUAUGAAAGAUGACGAAAACAGGUUGAAUGCUGUCACCUAAAGGGUUUCGUCUGUAUUUGUAUUUGAUUCUUGGAUCUGAGGUAUGAUUUAUUGUGCCUCUUCAUUAGCAGAGAUCUGGCAGAUAACAAAGCCAUCGAGUUUUGGAUCCUACAUUUGGCAAGAGCCUAUCGACGAAAUAGGUAUGAUAUUGUCAUCGUCUCUCUGUAUUAAAUUGAUGACACUUUGGUGAUGAUAUAUUUAAAGAUGAUUGGAAACAUGAUAUAUCUUCUCAUACUAUUUUUUCGAGGGAGUGUUUUGAAGCUGUCCCCCGAACCUGAUAUAUCUUCUCGAUGGAAAUUCCAAUAAUUAUUGAUGGUUGAAUCAUCACAAACUUCACUAACUCAGAAGAUAAACGAUAACCGGUCGAAAACCAAAGCAGCCCUCUUUGAUGUAAUCAGAAGUGGAUCUACAUCCUUUGCCAACUAUCUGAAACCAACAAUCAGUUUGCAACCUGACCCGAUCAAGUGCUUAAAGAAAAGAAACAAGAGUCUUGAGCAAAACUUGAUUUUUGGAACUCAACUCCAAGAUUGGUUUGAGCCGGUAAAGAAGAAAAUCAAAGCAACCACCCCAUUCAAAUAUUUUGCAUCAUGAACGUGCCUCUCAAUCUCAGGGGAGACUGUUUGGGUAAAAUGAAUAGAUUUUGGAAUCCUUUCGCUUAUUUCCCCUUUCAUUCUAUGGCAGAAGCUCAAUUUUGAUGAAUAGUUCAAGCUGUUGUCAUGGCUGGACUUAAUGGCAAGUUUUUCUCCUACACAAUUAGUUCUUUAAUUUUUUUUCCUUCACCAGCUGCACUGCGAUCUAACCUGUGAUAUGUCCUCUUAUAUUAGACUGAGAGGCACCAGCUAGAUUAUCAAUGAACUUCUCUUAGUUUACCUGUUUUUACAAUUUUGUUUUCUUUAUGUGCGGUGAGAAUGGACAUAAGAGUAUCACUGUAGGUAAAGUAUCAAGUUUUGUCUUUAAUACGUUGUGUACAUGGGAAUCUAGAUGGAUAUGACUUUGAAGGUAUUCCUUAGAUUUCACACCAAAACAAAUGUGUUUAUAUCUGUGUUUGUGUUUUCAUUCAUCUUACCGUGUUCUAAAUAAUGUUUUUGGAUCAUAGUUUUGGACUGAAAAUAUAUUCAAAAUUUCCCUAAUUGGUAUAUAAAAAUUUAUUUUUUAAUAACAGUGUAAUAACCUCAUUGUAUUUUUAAAUAGUAAUUUUAAAACCAACUAAUAUAUAAUAAUAAAAUUUAAAUAAAUUGUGAAUAUCUAUUGAAAAUAUUUUAAUUAUCAUUUUACACUGAAUUUUAGUCCAGAAUAAUAUUUUAGUAUAGCUAGAUUGUGAGAUAUUUGUUUUUGUCUAUAACUAAACAAAUAAUAUAGUAAUAAUAAUUGCUGACAAAAAAUAUAGUAAUAAUAAUAUUUUCAUAUAAUUUUCAGUGUAUUUAACAUAUACAAAAAAAUU